rnacentral:rRNA from 1 species
UUAUACGAGCGGCCCAAGUUGAUAAAAAACGGCGUAAAGCGUGGUUAAAAAAUGUUAAAACUAGAGCCGAAUAACCUCAAAGCAGUUAUACGCAUUCGAGACCACGAAGCACAAUUACGAAAGUAGCUCUACCCGUCUUUGACUCCACGAAAACCAUAAAACAAACUGGGAUUAGAUACCCCACUAUGUAUGGCUGUUAACAUCGAGGGCCCGAUACUCAGACCCUCCGCCCGGGG